UGGGGAAUAUUGCACAAUGGGCGGAAGCCUGAUGCAGCAACGCCGCGUGAGGGAUGACGGCCUUCGGGUUGUAAACCUCUUUUAGCAGGGAAGAAGCGUGAGUGACGGUACCUGCAGAAAAAGCACCGGCUAACUACGUGCCAGCAGCCGCGGUAAUACGUAGGGUGCAAGCGUUAUCCGGAAUUAUUGGGCGUAAAGAGCUCGUAGGCGGUUUGUCGCGUCUGCUGUGAAAUCUGGGGGCUCAACUCCCAGCCUGCAGUGGGUACGGGCAGACUAGAGUGCGGUAGGGGAGAUUGGAAUUCCUGGUGUAGCGGUGGAAUGCGCAGAUAUCAGGAGGAACACCGAUGGCGAAGGCAGAUCUCUGGGCCGUAACUGACGCUGAGGAGCGAAAGGGUGGGGAGCAAACA
rnacentral:rRNA from 1 species